rnacentral:lncRNA from 1 species
GUCAGUAGUGAAUUAUUUCUUGAAAUCAAUUCGAUAUUGGCCAAAUAAAGAAAAGCAUUAAACACGAAAUUAACUGAAUAACUAUUAGUUUUGAUGGCAUAAAUAAGAACACCUAGUUACAUGGUUCAAAUAGUUCUACAGAGAAUCAUCUAAAAUCCCUAAUCUGAUGAGAUUAGUUACUCAUAAUAAUAAUUGACAUAACAAUUAAGUUCUGAAAAUUAUACAUGAAUUAAUAUGAAAAGCACCUUGAAUAAGAACUCCAAUGGUGAAUUCCUUUGUCUCCUAGUUAAAGUUGCAUCUCCCGUAACUUUCUUCCAAAGUCUGCAAGCCUGC